CUCGACUUCACGAACACUGCUGGACUUCCAGACCGUUCGGAUACUUUGUUCAUUUGGUAAAUUAACCAGUAUAAGUUUUCCUAGCAUUGGCAUGACUGUUCGUGUAAAUAUAUAUUCGCAUGGCUUUCGUUUUCUAUAGCAGGGAUCUGAGCGGUAUUUCACCAGAUGGUGCGCUCAGGUCCCAGCUAUUGAACAAGGGGUCAUUCGGCCAAUUCAAC